UAACUAGAAAACCAAACUGAAUAUCUUAUCUCUACAACUAUUACUCUCAAUAUGACAUUGUCCUACUUUUGGAGCAAACAUCUGAGUUGUUUGUUUCCAGCAUAUGUCACUUAUGAUAAACUAGCUUAAAGAUAUAUGACUUUUCAGUUGCAGCAUCACCUGUCUUCUUAUGAUUAUGAUUAUAAUUAAAUAUAAUUUAGAUUUUAAGCCAGUUUCUCUUCUUGCGCAUCAGUCUUUACUCAUCGUGAUAAAUGUGAAAAGGACAUGUGGCAUCGAUGCAAAAGGGAAAAGUUGAGUAUUCUUUACUCUGAUGAUAUUAAGGGUUACAUGAUAUUAAUAUCUAGUUAUGAAAAUUCAGUUGCAUUCUGAAGAGAUUUUCUUUUCUAUUCAAAUGUUUAUUCAUGUCAUGUCUGAUAUGGUGACUUUGUUCCUCUGUAGCUGACAGCUUUGGCCCAGGUCUGUCCUAUUAGAACAGAGCACAGAAGAGCCUGGUGGUGGCGCUGCUGAUCUCUUCUUCAUUCACCUGUUGAGGAGGAGAGAAGAGCCAGCUCAUCUCCUGAAGCUCUAGAGAUGGAGACAUAUUCAUGGAUUGUUGGAUGAUCUCAUGUCCUCCUCCCCAGGGAGCCGGUUUCAGAUGGUGUCUUAGAGUACACUUUCUGUCUAGCACCAUUUGAAAUCGGUGUUCUUGAGUGGGAUCAGUCGUCUGGACGGCACGUACUGUGGUAACACUGCCAAAACCCGUUCAAAUUUCACAAUAUGUUCCUGGUAGCAUUUUUUCCUCCAAGAAGUUAAAAUCCAAGAAAUCUCUAUCAGUGGAUCACCCCCUAACCAAGGCUGACCGUUUUCCUCUGGUGUUCAGAGUUGCCAUCAUGUCUAGCACCAUUUGAAAUCGGUUACAAUGUGGGGGGAAUAUCAACAGAAAGAAACAAUCCCGCCAUUACUGGAUAUCACCACUAGAUGGCGCCACAUACCGCCAGAUACAAUGCGUGAUACUUUUGAGAAAUGUGUUUGAACAAUGACAUUCACCUCUUAACUGUGAGGAAGUUGAAUAGAUAAAGACCCCUGCUUUUUGGGAUAUUAAUAGUAACAUAACAUUCUUUUACUGUCAGGGAUUCGAAGGAGAAGACAGUGAAGGCUGGCGUCAAUUAAGCCUUGUGAACCUAUUCUAAUUGCAGGCUGUCACCUUUCUGCACCUUUUUUGACAGUGCGAUUAUUUUAGAGCAUGUAAUAGUUUAAUAAUGACCUGGCUGCUCCAGUCGCACUUAAUUACGGAGAGCCCUGACUGAGCAAAGGGCCAGGAAUUAGCAUUAAGAAAGGCCAAACUGUCAGCACGGUUAGCCUUCACAGUACACAUGGCUGAACCACAUUAACAUACUGUGAACUAUAAUAAAUUACCCCAAAGUCUUAAUUAAGAUGAAUUAAUGAGUAACCAAAGUUAACACUCCUUAGUGGUUGUUCUCUUGUAAGCCAGCAAGUGUGGGGCAGGUGCAAUCUGAAAAGAACGUACUCACUUAUCUACUUGACAUUAUGUUGCCUUCGCAAAUCUCAGUGUGUACUGAUUUGGAGAGUGCUCCUCCAUGUUUUAAGGGGUAUUUCAGUUUGAACUUUUUGCUGUUGGUUAGUGUUGUCAGAAAACCAAGACAAUUCAGCAUAAGAGCCAAAACUGGCAUCGAGUUCAUUUUACUAUAGGUCAGUAUCUGGGUAUCAAGUGGACAUAGGCAUAUUACACUACUCUUUACUGUUUCUCAACUAGCUCCCAUCCUUUUUUUUUUUUUUUUUUUUUUUUUUUUUUUGAGAUUCUAGCAUCAAGCUACGAGCUGAAUGCUCAAAAGCUGCCACCUGCUUCUAGCCACAGCUAGUGAAGUAAUUAUAGAUUUAUACAAGGUCUAAACAUAGGUUUUUAUACAUUAUAUCAUUACACAGUCCUUCAUUAGUGUUCCCCAUCUGGUGUUUACGACGUAAUAGUUAACAUGGUUUUGAAUGAUGUUUGGCCUACAAAAAUAUGAUGAUAUUUUCAGCUUUUUGUGAUGUUUUUGCAUUUUAUGUUUUAUUAGUGGAACUUUUCUGUAAUCUUGGUCUUUGUAAAUAUGAAUUAAUUCUGAGUUGUAUUGAAGAUCCACUUAUAAUGUUUAUAUACCAGUGCAUUUGGUGCUUGUGCCAAAUCAAGACCUCUACUCAGGCUAAUCAGGUUGGAAUUCAUUUAAAUGAAUGUUGUGUCAGACUUGGAUGAUUUGCUGUGGAACCCGCCUCAUUAUUUAAUCAUUUAGUAUCAACUUAUUUUUGUUUACACAUUUUUGGGUAAAGAAGAAAAUAAAAAGGAUAAAAGUAUUUGUUUGAGCAAGAAUGACUUCUUGCCACAUUGUGGAUCAGCAUUAAAAAUCUGUUCAGUUACUUGCAAUUCAUUUGUAAACACAUCCAGUUGCCAUCUCAACAAAAAUAAGAGUAGUUGAACUUGGUCCUUCGUCCUCAGAGUAACUGACUCACAGGGAGUGCCCACAGACUGUUGUAAUCUCAUCAACACAUGAUCGAUUUUCACUUUAAAGGAGCAACAGUGACUAGCACAUUCACGUAUACCCACUGGAGUUUUCCUUUGACCUCAGUUUAUGUUGCAGUUGAGUCAUACUUGGUGAUGGAAUGCACAAACCAGAGGCAUAUGUUACCUGAUUCAUAUCCAUGAGUGGGUAUGGCAGUACUCUGUUUAAGACGUCAUGAGCAUACGCAAACAAGGGAGUAACAUUUUUGCUGCUUCGAUAUGUAUAUCUUUUUGAUGAGUUUGCCAGGAAAAAGUUGCUACACUGUCUGGAAGAUGGCUUAGGUCAACACGCCCAAAAAUCUCAUAAUCUUCUUCGCUUAACAUGAUUAACAUGUGCUCCUUUUUGUUGAAUGAUGUAUUUCAGUUAGAACAUUUUGCUGUUGGUUUGGUUGGUUUUAUUUUAAUACUAAUUUGGAGGAUGUUUUUUCAUUUUAACAGGGACAGUUAUCUCAAUAUAUCACAUAAACAAUUAAAACAAACAAAAAUAGCUCCAGAUUAAGAUUCUUGAUUAUGAAAGAACCAAGCCCAGACAUAACAUAAUGUAACAUCACUGUUGUGCAGGCCUGUUCACAUGGUAAGGAGUACAAUUGUUGAAAAACUACAGUCAUCGCCAUAUAGUGCACUUACAUGUUAAACAUUAACUUUACUGGUGCUCAACACUGGCCCCUGUGGGAAGCAUUUACACUCUGUCUGUCUAAGUAUUCACAUUUUCAUCCACCACAGUCAUGAGAACUAUCAAAGGAUCAAGAGGAGCUUUGAGAUCAUCAUUACAUGUUUCGUCUGGAGGUGCUUUCAUUGACUCUGUGUUUGAAUUCUUUAGUGAAUCAAAAACAAGCUGACACAAUGUGUUUUGAGUCACCCUGUAGUAAUUGUUAAAACGUAAAAGGACAACAUCCUUUCAAUUGAAGACAGGCCAAGUUAUUUUUUCCACGCUGAAGUUGAUAAUGUGACAAGAGCAGGAAAGAUUGGAACGUCAACGGAAACAAAGCAUGGCAACUAUUGAAGGAAGUCAUUUACACUUAAUUAGGAACAGGCCUCUCAACACAUGAGAUGAAGUCUUCCAUAUGGCAGCAUUUUAUAAGAAAGUACUUAAUCAAGAUGUGCUUCAAGAAAUAUUAUUACUACUGGUCAUUUCAGAGUCAAGAUUGUACUGUUAGUAAUGCUGUGCUCAUUGGAAAAGUUAAGAAAUAGUUACAUUUAGACAUCAGUGUGUAAUAUGUUUUGGUCUCCCCCUAGCCAGUAAAACCAGUGCACACCCAGGUUUAUUGGAGAUUACUGGGUGUAUACUGUAGAUGCAUAUGGUGUAUAUCUUAUGCAUACUUUUUGUUUAUUUAGGGAUUGAAGCUUGCCACACAGGUCGGCCUUACCAAAUAUGAUGGUUUUCUACUGUUAUUAUAAGAACUUCUAUUUUAUCUCCAACCCUGAUCUUAUUGUAAUGCAGUCUUCUUUGAGUGUCAACAUGUAGAAAUUAAGGGCUACAGAAACACAUUGAACAAUAUUUUCAGCCCUAUCCAGAAAAAAAAAAUCAUCUGUUCAAAAGAGGCUAAAUGCUAAGAAUGUAAUAUUUGAUAAGGCAAGAAUUUCUGCUGCCAGGACUAAAACAAAUGGAAAAAAACAUAUUUCUCUAACACACCCAUAUAUACUUUCCAAACAGCACCAAAACUAAGUAAAUUUCUAAAAUAACAAUAAAAAACUUACGCCUUUACACAUACACACCAGUCAUCACAGUGUUAAUAAGCUUUACCAUUCAGCUAUAUUAUUUCAUAGUUUUCUAAAAUGCCGAACAAGCAUAAAACAGGACAUUCAGCCAUUCAGGUCUCAUAAAGCCAAUCAACACCUCGAACUUACUAUUAUUAUUAUUAUUAUUAUUAUUAUUAUUAUUAUUAUUAUUGUUUUUUUUUUUUAUCUCUUUCUGGAUCACUGGGCCUCGGGGAGAACAUUUCCUUCUGUCAUGUGUUUCUCUCACAGGUUUGAAUGACAAAAUAAAGAACCUUGAACCUUGAACCUUGAACCUUGCACCUUGAACGGUCUUCCUUCAAAACAGGACACAGACAAUGGAAAAUGUGAGUAAUCGGGACUGCAUCUGUCUCAACCUCUCUAAAGAUAUAUUUAUUUUUGUCAUACAAUUUUUUUUUCUUUCUUUCUUUUUUUGGAAUUUGAACAUUUUAAUAUUUAGUUCUUUUAUUUAAAGGGUCCAUAUUUCGCUAUUUUCUGAUCUAUGUUAUAAUCUUAUUUCCUCAUCACAGACAUAUCUGGAGUUCUGUUUUUGUUUCAGUCAUACAUGUUUGACAUAAAAACCUGUCAUAUUUAGGCUGAGUUCUUCUCUCAAAUAGAAAAGACUCUGUUCCACCUUGAGAUGUCAUGUGGUAAUACAGGAAGUGCUCCACUGUGUUUUUAAACUCCAAACACCUUCGUUGGUAUUGCCAAUCUUUAGUGAAUUAAAGGUAAAUGGUAGCUGUUAACUUGAAAGCUAUCACUUCAUGACAUCACAUGGUGGAACACAUUUGGAGAUGUAGACAGACUAAUAAAGGGUCACUCAAACAUGUGUGAAUGAAACACAACACAAAUCCAGGUGUGUUUUUGAUGAGGUAACAACAUUCUUACAUGAUUUAAAGCUCACAAAAGUAAAAUUAGCUUUAUCCUUUUCUGAAAAUAUGUCUUUAUCAUUUAUUUUCCUGGCAUAAAGUGUAUAUAUUGUGCUUUGUGGUGCAGGCGUGUCAAAUUUUUCUAUCUAUAAGCAAUGUUAUCAUGGUCACAUUUGAAUUUUAUCUUGAAUUCUAGUUGCUUUGAUGUACAUAGAGCCAUGGGAAUUACUAAAAAGGCAUUGAAGUGAUGGAGAAGACGGUCUUUGUUGAGAGGGGUCAAUCAAAGUGGGUGGUACACAUAGCUGCAGUGUUGUCUAGGUUGUGAGAAAGGUCAUCCCCUGAUCAAGCCUACUGGACUGUGUGUCCAUGAAACUAAGACAAGUGAUAGUAGUGAGGAUAAGAGCUGUUGGUGUAUUUCCUGUUACUGUAAGAUCCAACAUAAGAUGAGUCAUGCAACUUGAAACUGUAAAUCUGAAGUUGAAGUAAAAUACAUUUGUUCUACUACUAUGACUAUUCAACAACUAUUUAGUGUUAACAGUGAGAUCAACUCUUACUGGUGCUACUAGUCACUCCAGGUUACAACUUUUAAAACUAUAAAUGCUGUUUUUCACCAAUUUAGUCAAAGGAAUACACCAACUUCCCAACUUGGUUAAUCAUUGCUGGUAACUUUAUAGGCACCUUGUUUUCCUUUUUUUUAUUUAUGAUGUUACAGAUUAAAGCAGGUAUUACAAUAUGUUUUGCUUUUACUUACAAAUAUAUAGCUGCACUAAGUAACUUGCUGUCUCUAUGGAAACUUAGCUUUGCCUGAAAUGUUAGUUUGAGAGCUAUCUCCAUGUAGACUAGCAUACACCACCAGGCCAAGUUACAAGUCAGAUUUGAGGAGAGAGAACCACUUGACUGAAAGAAUGCAUGUUUCUUUUAACAAUACAAAUGUCUCUACUACUAUAAUGGCAGGUAUGUUUAAUGCCAUUCUGUGAAACAGUCAUAAAAACAUUUGUGUAGACAAACAUGUAGAGGACUAUACCAAUAAAGUUACAUAGUAAAACUUUAACCUUCUUUUGAAUUGCCUGCUUUUAUCUAAUAUGUUCCAUACUGUUAGUGACUUUAGAAAAUGCUGUACAAAUCAGUAUAGGCCUAUAAAGCUGCCAGUAAUGAUUAACCAAAAGCCUUUGGCGGGAAGUCAAGUGUGUUCCUUUGAUUAAGCUGCUAACCAUUUAGCUCUGCACUGUAAUAACCGUCUUUGUACUUGAUCCUAUUACCUUACCUUGGUCUGUCUGCUGCCAUCACACCUCACAGUCCUCUACAGGGGAACAGAAGUUUUGAAGUGGCAUGUGUGGAUGCAUAGGCCUUUACAAAAGGCAUGGGUCACAGUUAGGCCACAACUGUGACCUACUGUUCCUAGAAAUGGUAAAUGGAUAGUUGAAGCCACAACGACAUUUGUAAAUACACAUUUAUGCCAUUAUGGGCCCUGAGUUAAUUAAAAUGUAUAAAAUAAAUUAUUUGUUUAUUGAG